AAUAGAUACCCGGGUAGUCCACGCCGUAAACGAUGAGUGCUAAGUGUUAGAGGGUUUCCGCCCUUUAGUGCUGAAGUUAACGCAUUAAGCACUCCGCCUGGGGAGUACGGCCGCAAGGCUGAAACUCAAAGGAAUUGACGGGGGCCCGCACAAGCGGUGGAGCAUGUGGUUUAAUUCGAAGCAACGCGAAGAACCUUACCAGGUCUUGACAUCCUCUGACAACCCUAGAGAUAGGGCUUCUCCUUCGGGAGCAGAGUGACAGGUGGUGCAUGGUUGUCGUCAGCUCGUGUCGUGAGAUGUUGGGUUAAGUCCCGCAACGAGCGCAACCCUUGAUCUUAGUUGCCAUCAUUAAGUUGGGCACUCUAAGGUGACUGCCGGUGACAAACCGGAGGAAGGUGGGGAUGACGUCAAAUCAUCAUGCCCCUUAUGACCUGGGCUACACACGUGCUACAAUGGACGGUACAAAGAGCUGCAAGACCGCGAGGUGGAGCUAAUCUCAUAAAAACCGUUCUCAGUUCGGAUUGUAGGCUGCAAC
rnacentral:rRNA from 1 species